AGAGUUUGAUCCUGGCUCAGGAUGAACGCUGGCGGCGUGCUUAACACAUGCAAGUCGAACGAAGCGCUUUGACGGAACUCUUCGGAGGGAAGAUAAAGUGACUGAGUGGCGGACGGGUGAGUAACGCGUGGGUAACCUGCCUUACACAGGGGGAUAACAGUUAGAAAUGACUGCUAAUACCGCAUAACCCGCUAGUACCGCAUGGUACGGACGGAAAAGAUUUAUCGGUGUAAGAUGGACCCGCGUCUGAUUAGCUGGUUGGCAGGGUAACGGCCUACCAAGGCGACGAUCAGUAGCCGGCUUGAGAGAGUGGACGGCCACAUUGGGACUGAGACACGGCCCAAACUCCUACGGGAGGCAGCAGUGGGGAAUAUUGCACAAUGGGGGAAACCCUGAUGCAGCGACGCCGCGUGAGUGAAGAAGUAUUUCGGUAUGUAAAGCCCUAUCAGCAGGGAAGAAAAUGACGGUACCUGACUAAGAAGCCCCGGCUAACUACGUGCCAGCAGCCGCGGUAAUACGUAGGGGGCAAGCGUUAUCCGGAUUUACUGGGUGUAAAGGGUGCGUAGGUGGCUUGGCAAGUCAGACGUGAAAACCCGGGGCUUAACUCCGGGACUGCAUUUGAAACUGUCGGGCUGGAGUGCAGGAGAGGUAAGUGGAAUUCCUAGUGUAGCGGUGAAAUGCGUAGAUAUUAGGAGGAACACCAGUGGCGAAGGCGGCUUACUGGACUGUAACUGACACUGAGGCACGAAAGCGUGGGGAGCAAACAGGAUUAGAUACCCUGGUAGUCCACGCCGUAAACG
rnacentral:rRNA from 1 species